rnacentral:rRNA from 1 species
GGGCGCAGCAGGUGCGAAUAACCUACAAUGCGGGAAACCGUGAUAAGGGGACACCGAGUGUCAGCAUCAUAUGCUGGCUGUCCAGGUGUGUAAAAUACACCUGUUAGCAAGGGCCGGGCAAGACCGGUGCCAGCCGCCGCGGUAACACCGGCGGCCCGAGUGGUGAUCGUGAUUAUUGGGUCUAAAGGGUCCGUAGCCGGUUUGGUCAAUCCUCCGGGCAAUCUGAUAGCUCAACUAUUAGGCUAUCGGGGGAUACUACCAGACUUGGAACCGGGAGAGGUAAGAGGUAAUACAGGGGUAGGAGUGAAAUCUUGUAAUCCCUGUGGGACCACCUGUGGCGAAGGCGUCUUACCAGAACGGGUUCGACGGUGAGGGACGAAAGCUGGGGGCACGAACCGGAUUAGAUACCCGGGUAGUCCCAGCCGUAAACGAUGCUCGCUAGGUGUCAGGCAUGGCGCGACCGUGUCUGGUGCCGCAGGGAAGCCGUGAAGCGAGCCACCUGGGAAGUACGGCCGCAAGGCUGAAACUUAAAGGAAUUGGCGGGGGAGCA